rnacentral:rRNA from 1 species
ACAGCAGUCGCCGCGGUAAUACGGAGGGAGCUAGCGUUGUUCGGAAUUACUGGGCGUAAAGCGCGCGUAGGCGGCUUUGUAAGUCAGAGGUGAAAGCCUGGAGCUCAACUCCAGAACUGCCUUUGAGACUGCAUCGCUCGAAUCCGGGAGAGGUGAGUGGAAUUCCGAGUGUAGAGGUGAAAUUCGUAGAUAUUCGGAAGAACACCAGUGGCGAAGGCGGCUCACUGGACCGGUAUUGACGCUGAGGUGCGAAAGCGUGGGGAGCAAACAGGAUUAGAUACCCCAGUAGUCCCUGUCUCUUAUAA